UCUUAAUUAGUAUAUUAAGUACACCUGACUUCCAAUCAGAUAGAUUGACUCAUCAAAUUAAGAA
rnacentral:tRNA from 1 species